rnacentral:snRNA from 1 species
GUGCUCACUUUGGCAGCACAUAUACUAAAAUUGGAAUGAUACAGAGAAGAUUAGGAUGGCCCCUGUGCAAGGAUGACACAAAUUUGUGAAGCGUUCCAUAUUUAA